rnacentral:tRNA from 1 species
GGUCCCGUAGCUCAGCUGGACUAGAGCAUCUGCCUUCUAAGCAGAGGGUCGCAGGUUCGAAUCCUGCCGGGAUCGCCA